UACGUAGGGUGCGAGCGUUAAUCGGAAUUACUGGGCGUAAAGCGUACGCAGGCGGCGCAUUAAGACAGGUGUGAAAUCCCCGGGCUUAACCUGGGAAUGGCGCUUGUGACUGAUGUGCUUUUUGAGUGCGGCAGAGGGAGGUGGGAAUUCCACGUGUAGCAGUGAAAUGCGUAGAGAUGUGGAGGAACACCGAUGGCGAAGGCAGCCUCCUGGGCCAGCACUGACGCUCAUGUACGAAAGCGUGGGGAGCAAACAGG
rnacentral:rRNA from 1 species